rnacentral:rRNA from 1 species
CCUGCCCAAGAGAUCGGGAUAACACCUGGAAACAGAUGCUAAUACCGGAUAACAACAGAUGAUGCCUAUCAAUUGUUUAAAAGAUGGUUCUGCUAUCACUCUUGGAUGGACCUGCGGUGCAUUAGCUAGUUGGUAGGGUAACGGCCUACCAAGGCGAUGAUGCAUAGCCGAGUUGAGAGACUGAUCGGCCACAUUGGGACUGAGACACGGCCCAAACUCCUACGGGAGGCAGCAGCG